rnacentral:rRNA from 1 species
UACGUAGGGUGCGAGCGUUGUCCGGAAUUAUUGGGCGUAAAGGGCUCGUAGGCGGUUUGUCGCGUCGGGAGUGAAAACUCAGGGCUUAACCCUGAGCCUGCUUCCGAUACGGGCAGACUAGAGGUAUGCAGGGGAGAACGGAAUUCCUGGUGUAGCGGUGAAAUGCGCAGAUAUCAGGAGGAACAACGGUGGCGAAGGCGGUUCUCUGGGCAUGAUCUGACGCUGAGGAGCGAAAGUGUGGGGAGCGAACAGG